GCACAUUUAUCACUCUCUUAUCAUUCUCCUUUAACUUCUUACCCAGUUAAGGAUUUAGGGUUUUUUCAUAUUACUAUUCUAAUUUUUUUUGUUCAUGUUUGGAUUUUAGUCAAAUGGCGUCCCUGAACGAAAAUCUAAUUGGUCGAGCCAUCAGCCAGUGGCGGCGACAGUCCGUCUCACUAUCCCAGCCGGCGGAGCAAUACCUAGACCACUGAUAGUAGGUCAGGACAAAGACAAUGCUUGCACCCAGAAAUAGAAAUCAGAAGCCUUGAUCGCUACUAUUAUGAUUGGUUUCAAUGACAAACUUUUGAGAUGAGUGUUCAUUUCUCUUUAGUGACCCGAUUUCUUAAAAAAGUUAAUGGAAUUAAUUCCGGGAGUGGGCAUUCAAGUCAUGUUGUUGCAUCAACCAUAACCCUAAAACACAUCUAUGAAAUCGCAAAGGUGAAGCAAGCAGAUCCGCAUUGUUUGUACAUGUCCCUGGAGGCAAUUUCAAAAUCAAUUCUAGGUACGAAUAAAUCGCAAUGAACGUUUUGGAGUGAUUUUGCUUGCUCAUCCAUCCGGAGUCCGAUUUCUUCUACAUCGAUCCUCACCUUAAAUGGUUCAACGACUGUAACUCCUCUCGAUUGUAGUGCCGAUCAACAAGUACGACUCAUCAACUGUCAAUCGAAUCUACCAGUUCAACGACCCCUAAUCGAUAACUACAUGGAUAAGCCCUCACAGGGUCCAUGAGAAAUAUAUCUAACUACUUAUUGGGAGAGCAUCAUUGAAAGCCUAAAUGGUGUUCUUGAUACAUUAAAAGAAUUCCGUGCGCCACCUGUCAUUAGGGUGUAUUUCCGGUAAUUGGAUUUGCUAGACUUGAUUAAUGAUUGAAUGAUGCAUUCAUAUUCUUCGUGCUCAUAAGUUUGAGGAACAUGCGGGUGGAAAAACUAGGUACCCUUAUAAUCACAUAUAUCUGAAGAAACGUAGCUGGUUCAUCUGUUAAUGAGGAAUUCCUUCAAGUUUGGAAAGGGGGUCUUCAAGGAAACAUGGACAUGGGUAAAAUAGAUAACAAUCAUCAUAUGAUGCUUAUGAACUUGUUCCAUGAUUUGCCAACUGAUGAUAAUAGUAUUGGCUUGGAGUUGGUGUCUUGUUACUUUAUGCUUUGGCUUUCAAUAUCAUACUGACUCUCAGUUUGCUUAUCUUAAUCUUAAGUGUCACUUAUUCAUAUUUCCAUCUCUUACAUUUUUUUUGGAAGUCUGGUAACUAUUUUAAUUCGUAUCACAACUCUAAAAGUGCACAGAUAGUUCCACCUGAUACCGGAGAAAACAAUUCAACAGAUUCCACAUGUUAAAUUACUCUUACAGUUGCAUGCUUUAAAAUUAUAGUAUAUAAUUGUCUACUCCCUCCUUCCAAAAAAAUGAAACUUUUUCCUUUUUGGGUUAUCCUGAAAUUAUUUUUAUAAGCUAUAUGAUGUUGCAAUUUACAUUAUGGAGGGAGUAUAUGUUAAAAAAACUCCAAUUUGCAAUUUGCAUCUUAACUGGUCAUGCAGCUAGCAACCAAGCACCACCUAUUGACUUUUCAUAAUGUCAAUUACUUUUUUUGACAUGUCAAACGUAUGGCUUCCACCAUUCCAUGAACAAUUAGGUGGCUAGAAUUAGAAAUCUACUUUUCAUAAUGUCAAUUACUUGACUUUUUCCAGGAAAUGAAUUUGGAAGGUGUACCAGAAGCAGAAAGGAAGCUGCAACUGUUGUCAGAGUAUUAGUACAACAGUAAUCUAUAGUUUUGAUUGAGUUUCGUGAUUAUCAUACUUUUUCCCUUGAUCAAAGAUGUAAAUAUUGUUCGUCAGGUAGUAGGAUGAAUGUUUGUGUUUUCUGGAAUCCGAGAUUUGUGAUUUUGAUGAUACGAAAUUGGAUCACUAGCCUAAAAUGUUUUUGUGAUGCAAUUUCUUCCAUAUUAGUUGAUUAUGCUAGAUAUUCUUUUUAGCUAUUUCCUUGUAUUAAUUGAAAGGAUAUAAGCAUGUUGUUGUUCAUAAAUUUGUUGUCGGGUCGUUGCUUGAGCUCAACAAUGAAUGGUUUAUUUGUGACAA